GUUGACCUCGGAUCAGGUAGGAAUACGCGCUGAACUUAAGCAUAUCAAUAAGCGGAGGAAAAGAAACCAACAGGGAUUGCCUCAGUAACGGCGAGUGAAGCGGCAAUAGCUCAAAUUUGAAAUCUGGCCUCUUGGGGUCCGAGUUGUAAUUUGUAGAGGAUGUUUCGGGUACCGCCCCGGUGUAAAUUUCUUGGAACAGAAUGUCAAAGAGGGUGAGAAUCCCGUCUUGGACCGGCGGUAGGGCCUAUGUGAAACUCCUUCGACGAGUCGAGUUGUUUGGGAAUGCAGCUCAAAAUGGGUGGUAAAUUUCAUCUAAAGCUAAAUAUUGGCCAGAGACCGAUAGCGCACAAGUAGAGUGAUCGAAAGAUGAAAAGCACUUUGAAAAGAGAGUUAAACAGUAUGUGAAAUUGUUGAAAGGGAAGCGCUGGCAACCAGACUUGAGCGCGGCGGUUCCCCCAACCUUCUGGUUGGGCUACUCCGCCGUGUCCAGGCCAACAUCGGUUCUGGGGGUCGGUCAAAGGCCCUGGCAAUGUACCUACUCACGGGUAGACUUAUAGGCCAGGGUGUCAUGCGGCCACCCGGGACCGAGGAACGCGCUUCGGCUCGGAUGUUGGCGUAAUGGUUGUCAGCGACCCGUCUUGAAACACGGACCAAGGAGUCUAACAAUUGUGCGAGUGUUUGGGUGUCAAACCCGGAACGCGUAAUGAAAGUGAACGGAGGUAGGAAGCUUCGGCUGCACUAUCGACCGAUCCUGAAGUUUACGGAUGGAUUUGAGUAAGAGCAUAACUGUUGGGACCCGAAAGAUGGUGAACUAUGCCUGAAUAGGGUGAAGCCAGAGGAAACUCUGGUGGAGGCUCGCAGCGGUUCUGACGUGCAAAUCGAUCGUCAAAUUUGGGUAUAGGGGCGAAAGACUAAUCGAACCAU
rnacentral:rRNA from 1 species